GCCACUCGCAAGAGGGAACUCUACGUGGACUGCUCCGGAUAACGGAGAGGAAGGUGGGGAUGACGUCAAGUCCGCAUGGCCUUUAUGUCCAGGGCUACACACGUGUUACAAUGCAGGGCACAAACCGUUGCCAACCCGCGAGGGGGAGCUAAUCGGAAAAAACUCUGCUCAGUUCGGAUUGCAGUCUGCAACUCGACUGCAUGAAGCCGGAAUCGCUAGUAAUGGCGUAUCAKAUCGACGCCGUGAAUACGUUCCCGGGCCUUGUACACAC
rnacentral:rRNA from 1 species